CAAAGGUUCCCCCUCCUCCUCACGCUAAGUGUGCCGGUCCGCGGCGCUCCCCCGCCCCUCAGCCGGCGCGGCGUUGCCCGCGAUGGGGGUGGCGGAGGCGCUGGGCGCCGGGGCGGCGCGGUUGCUCUUCUACCCGACGCUGCUGUACACGGCGGCCCGGGCGCGGCUACCGGGGUCCCGCCGGCCCUGGUUUCACCGUAUCGACGGUUCCGUGCUGCUGGGGGCGCUGCCGCUGAGGGGACGUAGCCGUCGGCUGGUGGCGGAGGAGAACGUACGCGCCGUGGUGACCCUCAACGAGGAGUACGAGACCCGCUUUCUCUGUUGCUCCCCCCAGGAAUGGGAGGCAAUGGGAGUGGAGCAACUGCGUCUCAGCACCGUGGAUCUAACCGGAGUCCCCACCUUGGAAAACCUCCACAAGGGUGUUGAAUUCAUACUGAAACACCGAGCCUACGGUAACAGUGUCUAUGUGCACUGCAAGGCAGGACGCUCCCGCAGUGCCACGAUGGUGGCAGCAUAUUUAAUUCACGUAAGAAGGAUUCUAUGCUAAGUAGGGUUUAUUUUCCUACAGUCUGGGCGAAUACAGCCAACCUUUAGAGUUUGCUUUUGUGCAAGAAGCCUGAGCAUGUAAUAUUCCAUGAUUUUACAGAGUUUGGACUGAAGACCCAUUUUGAGAGAGCUACAUCACUGGAGCCCUCAGGAAGCAAUAGAGGCUAUUGCCAAGAUCCGUCCCCACAUCAUCAUUCGGCACAAGCAAGUCCAGGUCCUGGAGGCAUUUCACAG